UACGGAGGGGGCAAACGUUGUUCGGAAUUACUGGGCGUAAAGGGUGCGUAGGCGGUUCGGUAAGUCUUGCGUGAAAUCUCCCAGCCUACCUGGGAAACUGCGCUGGAAACUGCCGAGCUCGAGAGUGGAAGAGGCAGGUGGAAUUUCUGGUGUAGCGGUGGAAUGCGUAGAUAUCAGAAAGAACACUCGUGGCGAAGGCGGCCUGCUGGUCCAUUUCUGACGCUGAGGCACGAAAGCCAGGGGAGCGAACGGGAUUAGAUACCCCGGUAGUCCUGGCCUUAAACUGUGAACACUAGGUGUCGGGGGUAUCGACCCCCUCGGCGCCGCAGCUAACGCGUUAAGUGUUCCGCCUGGGGAGUACGACCGCAAGGUUGAA
rnacentral:rRNA from 1 species